rnacentral:rRNA from 1 species
UACGGGGGGAGCAAGCGUUGUUCGGAUUUACUGGGCGUAAAGGGCGCGUAGGCGACCACCGCAAGUCGAUUGUGAAAUCUCCGGGCUUAACCCGGAAAGGUCAACCGAUACUGCGGGGCUAGAGUGCAGAAGGGGCAACUGGAAUUCUCGGUGUAGCGGUGAAAUGCGUAGAUAUCGAGAGGAACACCUGCGGCGAAGGCGGGUGCUGGGCUGACACUGACGCUGAAGUGCGAAGCUAGGGAGCGAACGGG